AUUGGAUCAUGCAGGAAACCACAGAAAUCACAUUAUUUUGCAUUUUGGCUUUGGAAACAAGCCACGCUUUGAGUACACUCAGGAAGAAUUAGCAAAACUGAUCCUGCCAUAAACAAUACAACCCAAAGAGUUCUUUCCUGAGACUGAAAUUUUUGGCUCGGAAGAGAGAAGGAUGGUGAAGAAUACAGCUUAGGAGGUGAUCUAGCUGAGAAAGGUGAGAAAAACACUGAAAAGAAGGCAAGUGCUUUUGCUAACUGGACCUAAGAAUAAAAUGUUAGAUAAUGCAGGCUUAUGAAAGGCUGUGUCUUCCAAACAAAUAUUUUGGUUUCAGAAUGAUGUAAAGUUUGAAUAAUAACAGUAAGUUUCCACGAUUAUUAAAACUACUCUCUUUCCACAGUUGCAGUUGGAUUAGAGUCAAAAGUUCCAGAGCAGCAGUCCCAAGGAAGAAGAGUAUGCAGAAAUGAGGCAUUUGGCUGCUUAAGAAAUCAAAAGACAGACACAAAAACAGCUUUUAUAAGGCUAUUACAUUCAUCACCUCACUGAAUCUUGUGUUAGAAGAGUUGUGAUCUCUACUUUGCACCAGAGGCUCAGAGUCAUCACACGAUCUGUGCUGGUGACACCAGGACUAGAACCCAGACUCCUUCAGACCCACUCCACUCUACUAUCUCUCCUCUUCUUGUGUCAGAUCCAAUAAGACAGCUGCCAUUUUCCAUUAGAAGACAUUUAUGUUGCAUCUAAAAGAAGGAAUUUACAAACCAGAGAAG
rnacentral:lncRNA from 1 species